CCUUCAUCCACCUGGGCUUGACCUUCAUCAUCAUCGUCAUGGUGAUGGCGGCCUUCAUCCACCCGCGGUUGACCUUCAUCAUCGUCAUGGUGACGGUGGCCUUCAUCCACCUGCGGUUGACCUUCAUCAUCGUCAUGGUGAUGGUGGCCUUCAUCCACCUGCGGUUGACCUUCAUCAUCGUCGUCAUGGUGAUGGUGGCCUUCAUCCACCUGGGCUUGACCUUCAUCAUCAUCGUCAUGGCGAUGGCGGCCUUCAUCCACCCUUGGUUGACCUUCAUCAUCGUUGUCAUGGCGACGGUGGCCUUCAUCCACCCGCAGUUGACCUUCGUCAUCGUCAUCCUCCCCGUCGCCGUGGUGACGAUGAUGAUGGUGGUGGUGACCGGGGGAGCCUUCGUCGCUCUGGUGAUGAUGAUGAUGAUGAUGAAGGUCACUGGGGGAGCCUUCAUCCCUCUGGUGAUGAAGAUGAUGGAGGUGACCAGGGGAGCCUUCCUCCCUCUGGUGAUGAAGGUGAGGAAGCUCCGGGGGCUCCCCCCAGGCCGCCCCCGCCCGGAGGAGCAGCAGCAGCAGCAGCACGGCCGGAGCCAUGAGUGA
rnacentral:lncRNA from 1 species